CGGAGUUUGGACCUGUUGUGAGGUGUCACUCUACACCAUGUCGGAAUUUAAUUAGGAGUGACAUUUUUGACUGUUAUGUGACUACUUGAUCGAUAGUUUAGUCCAAUCUACACUGUCCUUGUGAUAGAAUAAAGAACAAUGAACAAUAGAGAAAAAUGAGUAUAUGGAGAAUUAGCAAUAUCCAAGUAAUAAAAAGACAGGAAUACUCAUCUUUCUCCAGGGAGGAGAAAAGAGAAGCAGGUAUAUAUGUGCUGGUUGCUGUAUCCAUGUGCGGUAUCUGUGGUUGUUGUUCUGCAGUAUCUAUAGUGGUUCUUCUUUUGUUGCUGUUCUUCUGUGACCAUGUCUAUUGCUGUGUCCAUUGCCAUUGCUGCUCCUAGGUCUCCAGUUUAUACAGACGUACCUAAGAAAUUUGGGCUAACGACUUUUAAAAGUUGGACUAAAGACUCUUAAAACAUCGUCCAUCAACUCGAAGAAGACGAUUCCUCUUGUUAAAUAAACAAGUAUUUGUCCUCUAUUCACCGUGGAAAUUUUGUAAUGAUAUCAUCUUCAUUUCUCUCUCAUUAAAGAUCCAAAGUUUACACAAACUGUAGUUGUCUGUCUCUGCUUGUGUCGAG
rnacentral:lncRNA from 1 species